rnacentral:piRNA from 1 species
UCCUACCUACCUACCUUCCUUCCC